UCGAACGCACAGCCGAAAGGUGCUUGCACCUUUCAAGUGAGUGGCGAACGGGUGAGUAACACGUGGAUAACCUACCUCAAGGUUGGGGAUAACAUUUGGAAACAGAUGCUAAUACCGAAUAAAACUUAGUAUCGCAUGAUACCAGGUUAAAAGGCGCUACGGCGUCACCUAKAGAUGGAUCCGCGGUGCAUUAGUUAGUUGGUGGGGUAAAGGCUUACCAAGACAAUGAUGCAUAGCCGAGUUGAGAGACUGAUCGGCCACAUUGGGACUGAGACACGGCCCAAACUCCUACGGGAGGCUGCAGUAGGGAAUCUUCCACAAUGGGCGAAAGCCUGAUGGAGCAACGCCGCGUGUGUGAUGAAGGCUUUCGGGUCGUAAAGCACUGUUGUAUGGGAAGAACAGCUAGAGUAGGGAAUGACUUUAGUUUGACGGUACCAUACCAGAAAGGGACGGCUAAAUACGUGCCAGCAGCCGCGGUAAUACGUAUGUCCCGAGCGUUAUCCGGAUUUAUUGGGCGUAAAGCGAGCGCAGACGGUUAAUUAAGUCUGAUGUGAAAGCCCGGAGCUCAACUCCGGAAAGGCAUUGGAAACUGGUUAACUUGAGUGCAGUCGAGGUAAGUGGAACUCCAUGUGUAGCGGUGGAAUGCGUAGAUAUAUGGAAGAACACCAGCGGCGAAGGCGGCUUACUGGACUGUAACUGACGUUGAGGCUCGAAAGUGUGGGUAGCAAACAGGAUUAGAUACCCUGGUAGUCCACGCCGUAAACGAUGAACACUAGUGUUAGGAGGUUUCCGCCUCUUAGUGCCGAAGCUAACGCAUUAAGUGUUCCGCCUGGGGAGUACGACCGCAAGGUU
rnacentral:rRNA from 1 species